rnacentral:miRNA from 10 species
AGCUCUGCCACACGAUGCCACC